UCUAAGCUGGCUUCAGACCUUGAGCCACAAUUGGGAACACUUUUAUAAAUCUCAGUUGAGAGCUUAUAAACCAUUAUGUAGCUCAGCAAGAAAGCGUGUGACAGAGAUGUACAGUUACCUUUCCACUGAAGCUCUGUUUCUUUCCUCCCUCCAUCCAGCUAAAGGUAAAAAGGCUCUUGAGGCCACGGAAUAAAGAAAUGUUCUGUUCUCAAAAGAAGAGGCUCUGACAAGACAGCGAGCUUUCUCACAAGGCUGGGGAGGGAAACACGUUGGAGCUAGAAAAGUGAGAGUGCCUGCUGGAACCACACGGACGAUCCUGCCAGAGGCUUAAAAUUGUCUUGGGCUCAGCCCUGCUACUCUCUCUCAAGUACUCACAUCCGGAGCAUAUCACCCAUUUCACCACAAAGCCAACACUUCUUCAGAAAGGCCCUCCUGUUAUUGACUUAGACAAAAAUGACACAGGUAUGUGGCAUCAUGAGGAGUAGGUGGGAUAGCAAGACAUAGCCCGUCUGGUACCUGCAAUCUGCCAAUAACCUUGAUUGUUUGCUUUGGGAUAGCCCUCGCUCUUGGAUGACUUCCUGUGGUCUCCUUGAGAACCUCUCUGGUGUUCCUCUGUGGACUUGGAAUGCAUGGAUUUUAUCUUUGUAGUAGUCUUCCUGCUUAUUUUGGGCUGUGUGUGUGUGUGUGUGUGUGUGUGUGUGUGUGUAUACACAUGUAUGCGUGUGUUUUAAACACUGACUCUCUGUCCUACUGAUUUCAACUUUCUUCUAGAAAUUUCACAAAACUUUUGCCCAUCAGGGUAAUUUCUACUGUUUUUUAACUAAUAUUUCUUUGUUUUUUAUUAUUAUUGGAUUUUGGAAGGAAAGAGAAAUAUAUCCAAUUAGUCAAGUCAGCCAUUUUAAGCCAAAAUCACCACCAAAGGUAUAUAUUCCUGACAUAUGUUCAGGGUGUACCUUGGGCCCAUCCAAUGAACUGGUAUUCAGUUUUUUCUUAAUAGGUUAACAAAACUAAAAUAGAUGCAGUUUUUCACAUAUCAUGGUUUCAUGUUAAAGGGAAAACAUCCACUUGGCCUAAGAAAGCUCUUCUUGGAAAUGAUCUGAAGUAUACCAGUUUUUUUGUAUACAUAUCCCAACUCAUGUAAUUCUUAUUUUGGCUUUAGACAUUAACUUAAAAGUGGGCCCUGAUUUUAUAAACAGCAGUUACUUAACUUUUUGUCAUUCUUGAUCAUGGCGUUUUGUCUAAAUAUGGAAAGCAUCAUAAGUAAAAGGAAGAUUGAUGGAAUAUGAGCUGUACUUCCUAUUUGCUGUUACUUUUUUACUCUUUAUUUAUUUAUAUAUUUUUUAAUGU